GUGCCCAGAUAUCAAGUACAACAGUACGCACAUCUGCAAAGGAGUUGACAGCUCUGCCCUGCACUCUCACUUGAACUCAUCUAAAGGUGUUUCCUGCAAUUUCACCCUGGAGGCGUAUGCAUGUGCACA